AUUGAACGCUGGCGGCAGGCUUAACACAUGCAAGUCGAGCGGGGUGAUGGUGCUUGCACUAUCACUUAGCGGCGGACGGGUGAGUAAUGCUUAGGAAUCUGCCUAUUAGUGGGGGACAACAUCUCGAAAGGGAUGCUAAUACCGCAUACGUCCUACGGGAGAAAGCAGGGGAUCACUUGUGACCUUGCGCUAAUAGAUGAGCCUACGUCGGAUUAGCUAGUUGGUGGGGUAAAGGCCUACCAAGGCGACGAUCUGUAGCGGGUCUGAGAGGAUGAUCCGCCACACUGGGACUGGGACACGGCCCAGACUCCUACGGGAGGCAGCAGUGGGGAAUAUUGGACAAUGGGGAGAACCCGGAUCCCGCCAUGCCGCGUGUGUGAAGAAGGCCUUAUGGUUGUAAAGCACUUUAAGCGAGGAGGAGGCUCUUUUGGUUAAUACCCAAGAUGAGUGGACGUUACUCGCAGAAUAAGCACCGGCUAACUCUGUGCCAGCAGCCGCGGUAA
rnacentral:rRNA from 1 species